rnacentral:rRNA from 1 species
GGGUGCUAUACAUGCAAGUCGAGCGGACAGAUGGGAGCUUGCUCCCUGAUGUUAGCGGCGGACGGGUGAGUAACACGUGGGUAACCUGCCUGUAAGACUGGGAUAACUCCGGGAAACCGGGGCUAAUACCGGAUGGUUGUUUGAACCGCAUGGUUCAAACAUAAAAGGUGGCUUCGGCUACCACUUACAGAUGGACCCGCGGCGCAUUAGCUAGUUGGUGAGGUAACGGCUCACCAAGGCAACGAUGCGUAGCCGACCUGAGAGGGUGAUCGGCCACACUGGGACUGAGACACGGCCCAGACUCCUACGGGAGGCAGCAGUAGGGAAUCUUCCGCAAUGGACGAAAGUCUGACGGAGCAACGCCGCGUGAGUGAUGAAGGUUUUCGGAUCGUAAAGCUCUGUUGUUAGGGAAGAACAAGUACCGUUCGAAUAGGGCGGUACCUUGACGGUACCUAACCAGAAAGCCACGGCUAACUACGUGCCAGCAGCCGCGGUAAUAC